rnacentral:rRNA from 1 species
UACGGAGGGUGCGAGCGUUAUCCGGAUUCACUGGGUUUAAAGGGUGCGUAGGCGGGUUGGUAAGUCCGUGGUGAAAUCCCCAGCUUAACUUGGGAACUGCCGUGGAUACUAUCAAUCUUGAAUAUCGUGGAGGUAAGCGGAAUAUGUCAUGUAGCGGUGAAAUGCUUAGAUAUGACAUAGAACACCAAUUGCGUAGGGCAGCUUACUACACGGAUCAUUGACGCUGAGGCACGAAAGCGUGGGGAGCAAACAGG